AAACUAAUUAUCUCUCCCCUUCAUUUUUUUUCUUACGCAGAUAUACUUUCCCCCACUCUCUCUCCCUACCGUCUCUCUCUCUUUCCUGUACUCCGGCUAGUGUCGCCGGCCCUCGCUGCCUCCGGCGCGGCGAGGCCGGCCUCUUCUCUUCCCCCUCCUUCUUUCCUCUUUUCCCUAUAUCUAAAUCCCCAAAUCAUAAAAUCUAAUUCCUAGGGUUUCUACCUCCCUUCCUCCCCUCUGGAAUUCGUCUCUCCGGCGAGGUCUGCCUCCACCACCGCCGUCUCCGUCGCGCCGCCGCCUCCUCUGUCUCAGUUUCAGGAAUCGACCGGCGUCGUCGUUGCUUGAGACGUCUUCGGCGCAACAGUCCUUUAUCAGCUCAAGAUCCUAUUUUUAUGAUUGUUUUCCUUAUUGCUUACUGGAAAGCUAAAGUUUUGAUAGAAGAAAGUAUACUGUUGUUAGUUAUGCUAUACUUAACUUGUUUGUUGUAGUUCGGUCCAUCUUCCCUAUUGCUAAUAGCAUUCUGUACAUGUAUUGAACAAAAGAAGACUACCUUCUUUGCUGUGAACUGCUGCCGGGAUGUUUGUAUUCUGAUGAAUAUUUGUUUGCUGUUGGGAAUUUGCAGAAUGGGGAAAAAUUGUUUCACGCUCAA